rnacentral:rRNA from 1 species
GACGAACGCUGGCGGCGUGCCUAAUACAUGCAAGUCGAGCGGACUUUCAAGAAGCUUGCUUUUUGAAAGUUAGCGGCGGACGGGUGAGUAACACGUGGGCAACCUGCCUGCAAGACGGGGAUAACUCCGGGAAACCGGGGCUAAUACCGGAUAAUAUCUUCCUUCGCAUGAAGGAAGGUUGAAAGGCGGCGCAAGCUGCCGCUUGCAGAUGGGCCCGCGGCGCAUUAGCUAGUUGGUGAGGUAACGGCUCACCAAGGCGACGAUGCGUAGCCGACCUGAGAGGGUGAUCGGCCACACUGGGACUGAGACACGGCCCAGACUCCUACGGGAGGCAGCAGUAGGGAAUCUUCCGCAAUGGACAAAGUCUGACGGAGCAACGCCGCGUGAGCGAAGAAGGUCUUCGGAUCGUAAAGCUCUGUUGUCAGGGAAGAACAAGUACCGUUCGAACAGGGCGGUACCUUGACGGUACCUGACCAGAAAGCCACGGCUAACUACGUG